GUCUCUUCGGGGAUGAUUAAACCGGCGCACGGGUGAGUAACACGUGAGUGACCUGCCUUUUAGACUGGAACAACUUACCGAAAGGUGAGCUAAUGCCGGAUGAGUUAUAUAAGUGCAUGUUUAUAUAGGAAAAGUUGGGGAGACCUGACGCUGAAAGAUGGACUCGCGUCCCAUUAGCUAGUUGGUAGGGUAAUGGCCUACCAAGGCGACGAUGGGUAGCCGGCCUGAGAGGGUGGCCGGCCACACUGGGACUGAGACACGGCCCAGACUCCUACGGGAGGCAGCAGUGGGGAAUUUUGCGCAAUGCUCGUAAGAGUGACGCAGCGACGCCGCGUGAAUGACGAAGGCCUUCGGGUCGUAAAGUUCUUUCGACAGGGAAGAAAAUGCCUAUAAGUAACUGUGUAUGUAUUGACGGUACCUGUAUAAGCAGCCCCGGCUAACUCCGUGCCAGCAGCCGCGGUAAUACGGAGGGGGCGAGCGUUGUUCGGAGUGACUGGGCGUAAAGAGCACGUAGGCGGUGUUGUAAGUCAUUAGUCAAAGACUAGAGCUCAACUUUAGUAAGGCUAGUGAUACUAUAAUACUAGAGUAUCAGAGAGGAUUGCAGAAUUCCUGGUGUAGCGGUGAAAUGCGUAGAUAUCAGGAGGAAUACCGUUAGCGAAGGCGGCAAUCUGGCUGGAAACUGACGCUGAGGUGCGAAAGCGUGGGUAGCAAACAGGAUUAGAUACCCUGGUAGUCCACGCUGUANACGAUGGAUGCUAGGUGUUGGGCUNUUUAGUUCAGUGCCGCAGCAAACGCGAUAAGCA
rnacentral:rRNA from 1 species